rnacentral:lncRNA from 1 species
UUUAAAUAUUAUAACAUAAAACAUGUUACUGGUAUACCACACAAUCCUACAGGACAAGCAGUGGUUGAGAGAUCUAAUUGUACUUUAAUGGAAAUGCUCUAUAAACAGGCAGGGGGAACCAAGACCCCCCAAAAACAGAUUACAUAAUGCUUUACUAACCUUAAACUUUCUUAAUGCUAAUGAGACAAUAGAAAAAAUUGCUGAGCUAAUUCAGUUGGUGUACUGAUGGGGAAUGUACUGUGUAUGUUUAUCUUAUUGGUUGUUAAAUAAAAUACUGUUUGGCCAAUGAGACAGCAAGUAUAUGGGAGCUAGAAGUCAAAGAGGAUUCUGGGAAAUGUAGUAGAGAAGUGCUGAUCCGGGCAGGAAGUGACAUAGCAAGGAGACUCAUAUUUGAGCGAGGAGCGAGGAGAAAUGGGAAGUUCCCUCUUUCCCCUUUGCCUCCUCCAGCAGCAGGAUGUUAUCCACCAGCAAGGAGGGACGCCAAUAAGGCGUCUGAUAAGUUAAGUCUUAUAAAAUAUAUAGAUGUUUGAUAUUUGAGACUGAGCUAACAGAUGAGAAUCCUAGUCAUUGGCCAAGCAGUUUUGAACCUAAUACAAGUUUCUGUGUAUUCAUUUGGGCCUAACUCAGGCGGGCGGCUGGUGAAAAGCUUACACGUGGCGGUGGGGCUCAGCGGCUUUUGGCGGAAAGAUUUAUUGUAACAGUGUACUUCAAGGAUGCAUUGACUUCUCUAUGGAAACCAGGAUAUGUGUUACAUUGGGGUAAGGGUUUCACCUUUAUUUCUUCAGGUGAAGAAAAGCUUUGGACACCACCAAAUUGAUCAAGAUCUGAUUUGAACAGGAGAAACCUCUUGAUGAGGAGAAAUGAUAGGCCAUCCACCAAUGCAUAUCCAACGAGUUGUAUGGAGACCUCACAAAGGCUCUGUCAUUUGAAAACUUCACAUAUCUGUGAGUUACACUGUCCAGCUAUGUUCCUGGCCUCUAUUGAGACAUUCACUGUGUAUCGAGGAGAAAUGUGGGAAGAGAAUGGGCCUCAUUCCCUCCAGAAUUCCCAUAUUUCAAUCAACGCAUUUCAGUCAUGGCUCAUGCGCCCAGAACUGAGUUCUUAGAUUCUGCAUGGGGAUCACUACUGCAUCUGUCCACCUCUGGGGAAUUCUGCUUGCAUUAUUGUCUUUUGGUACAUGUGCAAAAGUGUCUCUUUUCAUGUUCAUCUACAUCUGAGUCAAAUAAUAUUUACAGUUGCUUCUCUAUCAGAAAUUUCUGUUUCCUGGGGGUGAGAAAGUGAUUUUUCAAUUAUUACCUAUAGCAAAAUACUCCUGCAUUUCUUAAGUCACUCAAAUAAUGUAUGUUACAG